AGCGAACGCUGGCGGCAGGCCUAACACAUGCAAGUCGAACGGAUCCUUCGGGAUUAGUGGCGGACGGGUGAGUAACACGUGGGAACGUGCCCUUGGGUUCGGAACAACUCAGGGAAACUUGAGCUAAUACCGGUUGUGCUCUUCGGGGGUAAGAUUUAUCGCCAUUGGAGCGGCCCGCGUCUGUUUAGCUGGUUGGUGAGGUAAUGGCGCACCAAGGCGAGGAUCAGUAGCUGGUGUGAGAGGAUGAUCAGGCACACUGGGACUGAGACACGGCCCAGACUCCGACGGAAGGCAGCAGUGGGGAAUCUUGCGCAAUGGGCGAAAGCCUGACGCAGCCAUGCCGCGUGAAUGAUGAAGGUCUUAGGAUUGUAAAAUUCUUUCAGCGGGGACGAUAAUGACGGUACCCGCAGAAGAAGCUCCGGCUAACUUCGUG
rnacentral:rRNA from 1 species